GCCCGUGCCCCACGCGCUCCUCUGCUCCGCGCCGCGACCGUCGACAUGCUGCGCUGCGGCCUGGCCUGCGAGCGAGGCAGGUGGAUCCUGCCCCUGCUGCUGCUCAGCGCCAUCGCCUUCGACAUCAUCGCGCUGGCCGGCCGCGGCUGGCUGCAGUCGAGCGACCACCGCCAGACGUCCUCGCUGUGGUGGAAAUGCUCCAGCGAGGGCGGCGGCAGCGGGUCCGAGGAGGAGGGCUGCCAGAGCCUCAUUGACUUCGCGUGGGGAAGAGCAGCCGCCGCCAUGCUCUUCUGUGGCUUCAUCAUCGUGGUGAUCUGCUUCAUCCUCUCCUUCUUUGCCCUCUGCGGACCCCAGAUGCUUGUCUUCCUGAGAGUGAUUGGAGGCCUCCUGGCCCUGGCUGCUGUGUUCCAGAUCAUCUCCCUGGUCAUUUACCCCGUGAAGUACACCCAGACCUUCAACCUUCAUGCCGAGCCUUCUGUCACGUUCAUCUAUAACUGGGCCUACGGCUUCGGGUGGGCGGCCACGAUUAUCCUGAUCGGUUGUUCCUUCUUCUUUUGCUGCCUCCCCAACUACGAAGACGACCUCCUGGGCAACGCCAAGCCCAGGUACAUCUACACAUCCGCCUAACGUGGGAACGAGAGCGGAAGGAAAGCGCUGCUGCCGGGAUGGAUUCUGGAGGAAGAAACUGUUUCCCCAGGCUACUUUGUACCUAUGUUUUGGCAGUGUUCAUAUUAUUAAACUAGUCAAAAAUGCUAAAAUAA